rnacentral:rRNA from 1 species
CCUACGGUGGGCUGCAGUGGGGAAUAUUGGACAAUGGGCGAAAGCCUGAUCCAGCCAUGCCGCGUGUGUGAAGAAGGCCUUCGGGUUGUAAAGCACUUUCAGUGGGGAAGAAAGCCUUGGGGCUAAUACCCUCGAGGAAGGACAUCACCCACAGAAGAAGCACCGGCUAACUCCGUGCCAGCAGCCGCGGUAAUACGGAGGGUGCGAGCGUUAAUCGGAAUUACUGGGCGUAAAGCGCGCGUAGGCGGUCUGAUAAGCCGGUUGUGAAAGCCCCGGGCUCAACCUGGGAACGGCAUCCGGAACUGUGAGGCUAGAGUGCAGGAGAGGAAGGUAGAAUUCCCGGUGUAGCGGUGAAAUGCGUAGAGAUCGGGAGGAAUACCAGUGGCGAAGGCGGCCUUCUGGACUGACACUGACGCUGAGGUGCGAAAGCGUGGGUAGCAAACAGGAUUAGAUACCCUGGUAGUC